rnacentral:rRNA from 1 species
GUACGCUGGCGGCACGCCUAACACAUGCAAGUCGAACGAAGUAGCAAUACUUAGUGGCAGACGGGUGAGUAACAUGUGGGUAUCUUCCCUAUGGCCUGGAAUAACACGAGGAAACUUGUGCUAAUACUGGAUAAGUCUUUACGGAGAAAGCUUUAUGCACCAUUGGAUGAGCCCGCACUUGAUUAGUUAGUUGGUAGGGUAAUGGCCUACCAAGACUUUGAUCAAUAGCUGAUUUGAGAGGAUGAUCAGCCACAUUGGGACUGAGACACGGCCCAAACUCCUACGGGAGGCAGCAGUGGGGAAUCUUGCACAAUGGAGGAAACUCUGAUGCAGCGAUGCCGCGUGAGUGAAGAAGGCCCUUGGGUUGUAAAGCUCUUUCGUCGGGGAAGAAAAUGACUGUACCCGAAUAAGAAGGUCCGGCUAACU